CAUCGAAAGGAAAUCGGGUUAAUAUUCUCGAACCGGGACAUGGCGGCGGACGACAACGUUAGGAAAUCCGGAGACGUCGUCGGGGGCCCCGGGAAGAGUUAUCUUUUCUUUUUAACAACUUGCCCACCUUGAAAUUGGCUCAACCGGAGAUAGGGUCCAGCAGCUGGAAGAGCAUCACACGUCUUGCGGUGUCUGGUGCGCCCUCGACGGCCCUUGAAAAUCUGGAGGACCGAGUACCGUCCAUGCCUGGUCAUACUCAUAACUGCAUCAGGUCUCCAAGGUGAACAACCUCUGGUCAAUAAAACAAUGUAGGUAAGGGAAGUCAGCAAAACGGAUCCAUAACUUCAGGAAAAGGAUUGGCUCUGAGGGCUGGGCCUUGGGGUCUGCGUCCUCAACCCGUGGGAUGUCGGCAGUCUACCCGAGCUGCUAUCACGGCGAGGGCGGGCAGUCGCGUGCUGAUUGGGCUACGGACGUAGAAUGUCCUCUCGCGAGGGCUUUUCCCUAGGCGACGAACAGUCGACUCAGAACUGGUACGGAAAAGGGGAAUCCGACUGUUUAAUUAAAACAAAGCAUUGCGAUCGUCCCUGCGGAUGCUGACGCAAUGUGAUUUCUGCCCAGUGCUCUGAAUAUCAAAGUGAAGAAAUUCAACCAAGCGCGGGUAAACGGCGGGAGUAACUAUGACUCUCUU
rnacentral:ncRNA from 1 species